rnacentral:rRNA from 1 species
UACGUAGGGCGCAAGCGUUGUCCGGAAUUAUUGGGCGUAAAGAGCUCGUAGGCGGUUUGUCGCGUCUGCUGUGAAAACCUAAGGCUCAACCUUGGGCUUGCAGUGGGUACGGGCAGACUAGAGUGCGGUAGGGGAGAUUGGAAUUCCUGGUGUAGCGGUGGAAUGCGCAGAUAUCAGGAGGAACACCGAUGGCGAAGGCAGAUCUCUGGGCCGUAACUGACGCUGAGGAGCGAAAGCGUGGGGAGCAAACAGG